UCUGGAUUAAUACCACACACCAGAUUUCUUAUUUCUCUUUUUGUUUUGUUUUUUAUUAUUCUUUUUUUGAAUUGUUCAAGCUUUUUUUUUUCUAUUUCUGGGCUGAAGAAACAACCUGCAGUCAUGUCUCGGGGUCCGGAUGAUGUGAGCAAGCUGACAGAAAGUACCUACAAGCCUCAGAUCACGAAGCCCCGCCCACACCUCCGACUGCGGCUCAGGGUGAUGCUAGGGGAAGAAGCAGACAUGGCGGGCUCGCUCCAAUCAGACCAACACGAGAGGGCGGUUAUGGCCGGUGUACGGGCUGCACUUUAGUCCACACCACAAACGGUUUCCACACCACAGAUACCUCUGGCCGGACCCUCACGUACUUCAAGCUUUGCCGCGACCACCACGUCACUAAGAUCGGUCUGCGAGAACUUUGACCAAAGAAGAAAUCAUAGGAAUAGUAUGGGCACAUAGUGAGAGGGUGGUCACAACAGCCUACAGACCAAUCUACAUGAGCCGAGGGAAUGUGUGGACAACUGCCCUCCGACAGUUUAGCAGGCGUAGAUUCGCUGACAGCACAGACAUGCUGUAUGUCACUUUUGCCAGCGAUGAAGACACCAAUGAGGAUGCAGAAGACCUUGGAGGCCCCAGACGAGAAUUCUUCCAUCUACUUGGAAAAGCUGUCUUUAAAGACAGUGGAGCAUUUGAAGACCAAAGAACUACAGACUCUUCACAACCUGCUCAAACUCUUGGUACAGGACCUCACCACACGGGUCAAGAAGGUUUCCAUCUCAUUUCUACUCUGAAGCUCACCUUCUCCUGCUCAAACUGCUGACAAAUGUUUCUGCUGCUCUAAAGUCUGGUCUCCAGAACUUCCUAAAAACUCUCAAAGUCUCUUCUGCUGCAGGUUGCUUUGUAGAACUGUUCCAGAAAACCUCACUAAACCACAUGGAGGGGCCUCAAGAUAGUCGUACAAAUGAAACCGUACAAAAACCAAACUAGCACAACCCAAAUGCUAAAGUCUCCUGCAGCCUACCAGAGAACCUCUGAGAACAGAGAAUCAGGACAGGAACUCUUACCUUCUGGACAACCAGCGUUGCUUCACAAACAAGAAUACAGAAUGUGUCUGACCAAAAACCUCUAAAGACUCACUACAGCCAAGAUAAAGACACAACUCAGCUGCACCAAAUCCACUAAUCACUGCACACAUUAGCACCAUGUGCUAACUGUGGCUAAAGAACCACAUUUACCAAGACAACUAUCCGGUACAAAGCCCUAAAACACACCAAGAAACACAUUAAAGACGAUUUUACUGCUGGAAGCUGCAAACCAACGCCUUAAAGAACAAACUAAAGCAACAGAGCCAAACCCAGUUUAGUGGUGAAUAGAAGCAGAGGAAAUGUUUGUCUGCAGCUAAAUAAAGCAGGAAGACACUGAGCUGCUCAGGUGUUCCUGAUAACACCAAGCAGCCACCUGGACAGCCAAUAGGAACACAGCUUACUGGAAGUCCAGAGGGCUGGGUUAGUGAAGGAAAUUUAAAGUUGAGGCAGAAAGUUAACAAAGAAAGUUGAAAACCACCUUCUGAUACCCGAAAUCUCUGAGUUUUCACACAAAGAAUGCCUGAACAUGUCAAACUGGUUCCAUAGUAGAACCAUCAUUGUAAAAACGUCAUAGUAUGGUGUGUUGCUCCAAAAACAUUACAACCCGGCUGUCUAGGGUCACCGAGGAGCAACACAAAAACAGGACAAACGCUGGUUUCCAGGGGGUUAGGCGGAUAUUUAUUUGAAAGAGUAAGUUUACAACAACACGUGAGCAGAAAAAUCACAAAGUCUGUCUUUAGUUCAACUGAAAAUAUUA